AUGUCCAAUGGUCCACUGUCAUCUGACACGCUCAUCAAACAGGAGCAAGAAGAGGGCCUAGAACAAGGCACUACAGCUCCAGAUGACCAACUCCCUGAGGAAACACACCCUGGAAGAAACAGAGAAGGAAGGGAAGACAGGAGAGGUGCUGGUCUGCUGUUAAGACUGAGGAUGUCUCUGGGUCAGACUCCAGUUGGUGCUGCAGACUGUGUCAGCGCUGCUUCAGUUCCUCCUGGCAGCUGACGGGACACUGUUGUUCUGGCAUCGCGGGGGAGGACCGGGUUGCCCACGGCCACAAGGUCAAACUGGAGUUCCAGUGCCCAGUGUGUGGCGACCGCUUCCUCCACGCCUUCAUCAUGCACAAGCGCAGUCACAUGGGCCAGUCCCAGUACGUCUGUGGGGUCUGUGGACGGACGCUCAAGAGCCUGUGCAUGCUGUCCUCCCACAAGUGCUCACACUCCCGCCGCCGCGGGACUGUGGCUGAACGACAGCAGUGCCAUGACUGCAGCCAGAGCUUCUGCAACCUGCUGGCACUCAGAAGCCACCGGGAGAGACAGCACGGAGAGGAGAGGAACUGGGAGGAUGAGGAGGACAGGGUGGUGAGAGAGGAAGCGGAGGGAAGCACUGCAGUAAUCUCUAUUGAUUCAACCUGAGUUUCAGUAGCCCAGCCUCCCCAGUCUCCUCAGUGCCACCAGUGUUUCAUGACCUUUCAGGAUGCAGAGACAGAAGAGAGGUAUUUACGCUUCAAGCACCCAGUGAAGUAUGAGAGACAUCUCAGAGGUCGCACAGUGUUUGCCUGCUGUGUCUGCGACCGAACAUUCCCCUCCUCCCGCCUGCUCUCAGCUCACCAACGCACCCACAGCAAGUGGAAUCUGCCCCCUACUGGACCAGAAGACUCUCUCCAAGAAAGAACAGAUGGAGGAGAGGCUGAGGGUAUAGACAAUGAAAAAAACAGAGCUGGUCCAAUGAGCUGUGAGCACUGUCAUAUCAUCUUCAAUGACCUUCGAACCUGGGAACGUCACAUGAUGGCCAAGCACCCCCCCCCAUCCCUGUCGACACCUACUUCACCAGGGAAUGUCUACCUGACUUCUAGACCUGCCAGGGGUCAACUACGACCCUAUCGCUGCUCAUCCUGUGGAGAGAGAUUCAUACAGGAGGGCCUUGACUAACUAUAUACCAAGUUGUUUAAUGAAGAAAUGACGUUUCACUUAGUAUAAAUCAAAUAUAAUUUCAUUGUAAGGCCUUCGUGUCAACCCUUAUGGCAACUUUCUCCAACACCAACAGAAUCCUCACAAAAUAUAUUUGAAUUCAUAUCUCUUCUAGGGCUGUGAUGAUACCAGUGUCGCAAUAUUUUUUCCAUGGCAAAAAUGAAAACAUGAUGCAGAACAGACUCUUUGGUCCUUUUAUUUUCCAAGCUAUAGGUGUAAAAAUAAAUACAUGUGAUUCUGGAUAAAAAACAUAAUGAUGUUUGUUUCCAACUUCAAGGCUGUUUCCCCAAAGAAGUUAAAUCCACUUCGUGUUUUGUUUCCUUGCCACGAUACUGGUAUCUUCCUGGCCCUAACAUCUUGAAAAGCACCCGUGUCAAAAUGGAGUAGUUUUCAAAAUAAAAGCCUGACCAUAUUUAUUAGAGAUUCACAUUAAAAAAAAAAAAAUUAUCCUGUACCCUGAUUUAAGAUGAAAACAGACCAAACCAGCAUUUCAUCAUUUUGAUAGCAAUAAUGUCUGUACUAUGGCAUGUAAACUACAUGAAAAAAAGUAUGUGAACACCUGCUCAUCGAACAUCUCAUCCAAAAUCAUGGAUAUUAAUAUGGAAUUGGUCCUCCCUUUACUGCUAUAACAGCCUCCACUCUUUUGGGAAGGCUUUCCAUUAGAUGUUGGAACAUUGCUUCCAUUCAGCCACGAGCAUUAGUGAGGUCUGGUACUGAUGUUGGGCGAUUAGACCUGGCUCACAGUCUGAGUUCCAAUUCAUCCUAAAAGUGUUCGAUGGGGUUGAGGUUAAGGCUCUAUGCAGGCCUGUCAAGUUCUUCCACACCGACCUCAACAAACCAUUUCUGUAUGGACCUCGCUUUGUGGACGGUGGCAUUGUAAUGCUGAAACAGGAAAGGGCCUUCCCCGAACUGUUGCCACAAAGUUGGAAGCACUGAAUCGUCAAGAAUGUCAUUGUAUGCUGUAGAGGUAAGAUUUCCCUUCACUUGAACUAAUGGGCCUAGCACAAACCAUGAAUAACCAUUAUUCCUCCUCCACCACACUUUACAAUUGGCACUAUGCAUUGGUGCAGGUAGCGUUCUCCUGGCAUCUGCCAAACCCAGAUUCAUCCAUCGGACUGCCAGAUGGUGAAGCGUGAUUCAUCACUCCAGAGAAUGUUUUCCCACUGCUCCAAAUCCAAUGGUGGCGAGCUUUACACCUCUCAAGCUGACGCUUGGCAUUGUACAUGGUUAUCUUAGGCUUGUGUAUGGCUGCUCGGCCAUGGAAACCCAUGCCAUGAAGCUCUCAAUGAACCGUUCUUGUGCUGAUGUUGCUUCCAGAAGCAAUUUGGAACUCGGUAGUGAGUGUUGCAACUAGUUCUGUUACGGUGACUAUAUUACUGGCACACUGGCGGUCACGUGUCAUGAGGGCAGUCAAAUUCCACGUGACCAUUUAGUCACGGUAAUUAGGCUUCUCCAAGCUCUGAUGCUGCUGAUGGUCAUUAGUAGGCUGGCCACUCGAUUUCGUCUCUGUGUUAUAUUGGAAUCGAACAUGUCACCCUCCCUAGGAGAGGGGGUGACCUUGAUAAUUUAUUGUUCAAAUGAGAGGCUGCCUGGAUCUUUAACUUAAAGACCCUUGCUCCCUUCGGUCUCAACGUAGACUUUGAUCUGAAGCCAUUCUUUUGAUUAUUGUGACUUUGCCAUUGUAAUUGUUUGUAAGCUUGUGUAGUCUAAAAUGAAUUUAUGAUCGUAUGCUGUUUUUUGUAUGCUGUUCUUUGUAUGCCAUUUUAAUAUUUGAGAAUUAACCAAUGAUAUUAGGUCACUCUUGGCCAUGAUUACAGACACGUGUGUCUUUUGACACUAUCUAAACGAGUCAUCCCGCAGUGUUUGUGAUUAAACCCUGAUGAAGACAGCUUGGCUGUCGAAGCGUUGGAUAUUACAUUUUUGCAUCUGAGUUCCUAGAGUGUGUGGCUCUCCUUUAUUUUCAGGUCAUUCAGUAACAUACCAAACUUGCGAACCGCCUGGCACUCUAUUGUCCUUCUAUCACUCUGACAUCAAUGCAAAUGUAAUCAAAAAUCUAAUCUAACACUUAAUGAGAGCCCAUGAGAUCAUGUUGUGC
ensembl:lncRNA